CCCUCAACCAUCCCUAAUCCCUGGGGAUGGAGCAGAGCACCAACAAACAACAUUUCUCCACUGGACACAGUGUGCUGAGUUUACCCAGGAGGGGCUCAACCAAUGUAUUUCUGGAUCACGGGAAGACAGGGAAAGGCACAACAUGAGGGACGAGCCCGGC